rnacentral:rRNA from 1 species
GCCUUCUUUCUCUCUCUUUUUCCUUCUUUCUUUUUCUUCCCUCUCUCUUAUUCUUCUUUUCUCUUCUACUUUUAAAACCCGCGGCCCAACUGCGGGCUUGCAGCCGAUACGGGCAGGCUAGAGUUCGGUAGGGGAGACUGGAAUUCCUGGUGUAGCGGUGAAAUGCGCAGAUAUCAGGAGGAACACCAAUGGCGAAGGCAGCUCUCUGGGACGGUACUGACGCUGAGACGCGAAAGCGUGGGGAGCGAACAGG